UAUCUAACAUGAUUGGACUGAUAUGUUUUUCUGUGAGCCCAAAAAAGAGAGACGAGUCUUCAACAAAGUCGGCACCAAAAUUUAGGGUUUAUGUCCUUCUUUGAUCUCUGACACCAGAAAUGUUCUUCUUCGUUCUUUGAUACCAACAAUGGAGUUUCUAGGUGUUCGAUCGACGUGAAGAAUCGCUGUGUGAAUCUUCAAUCUUGAUGUUUUGUCUUCUGUUCAAAUCAAAACCAAAACGUUAUGUUAUUGAUUCAUCGCCUUAAUCAUACUUCUUAAUUAUAUCAACCCACGUCAAGCACGAUCUGACAUUGAAUGAAGCUUAUCCAUUUGCAAGGCGGUGUCUCUACACCUAUAAAAUGGCAAAACGAAAUUGAGAAGGUAUAUUCAUGUGUUGUAGACAAUUGAAGAAUAAAGAUGAGGAUAGAGUAAUUGAGAACAAUGAAGGUCUGCCUCAGCCUUUUUUGGGAAGCUGCAAUGAUCGUGCACGGCAGUUCCAGGCUUUUUCUUCAGGUCUUUCUCCAUGUUUAAAGGUUUUAUCUCUCUCACACUUCUCUUUUUAACAUUCAGAUUAUUUAUUUUUUUUCUUUGUACAUGUGUUUCAGCCACCGUGAAAGCAAUGAAUCACUCGCUCACCAACCAACAACACAAACACAAAAUCGGUAAUGUGAUUCAUCUGGUCUUGCAACGAUACCGUAAGUGGCACCAAAACUGAAACGUCUUCGGUUGAUGAGCCUACAAGAAGUAGUGGCUCAUCAAGGGAAGAAGAAGACGAUGCAAAUCAUUCGGAUGAGGUCUGAGUAAGUAAACUAAGCGUCACCGAAACAGAACGAGAUUUGCCUAUUCUACCAUAAAUAUCUGAUGACUGAAGAAAUAACUAACGUAUCAGUUUAUAAGAUUACAUUCUAAGAUAUAUUUGAAAAUUGAGGGAUGGUGUGUCUGUAGUUUCCUUACAACCAUGGUACCCGUGGCGUUCUGGUUCUAAUUCCAGUUCAUGUGAACUUAGCGGAGGAGAAGCUGAUGCUCUGCGACAGUGACACACGGCAGGAGAGUUAAGGAGGGGUUUGUUCAACUCGCUCCUUUGAGUUGGCUCGGUGAUCGAGGCAGUCGCACCAGAGACAUUUGAGGUUAUGUCUGUCAUCCACAUCCUCUUCCCAACUCAUAUCUUCGUUGCCGAUUGCACAAAUCCAUAAUUCUUUGACAUGGAACAUUGUUGCUCAGUGGCCACAAAGUAAGCAUAUAUAUUAUAAACUCAUACGUACUGGUGUUAUCUAUAGUUUUCAUACGAAAAUUAUUUGAUCACACUUUUUUGUGUAAGCAAAAGCCCUGGCAAGGGGAAUAAUCCUCAUUACAAACAAAGCUCAAUUGUAUUUUCCUUUUUUUCAUACAUGUUCAAACAUUCUCUUUAUACAUACAACUCUAUGUCUAAAUGUAGAAGAUUCCGAGAGAGCAGAGGAACAUGGGAUCUGAGGGUCAAUAGCUGUAGAUAUGCCAGCGAUAGCCACAGAGUACAGCCAUGUGAUGAACUGGCCAAGCUACAGGGCGUCUGCAGAUUUAUUUGAAGAAAAAGAGAAACAGACAGAUUAUGUGGAUACGGAGGUGGGGGUGGAUGUAAGUCUCACGUGACCGUGUGGAAUGAUACAAACCAGGAUGAAGAUAAAGAAAGUGUGGAAAAAGGCAGAGAAAGUUAGAAAUGGAAAUAAAACUAUGGAGGAGUUGAAAAUUAGGAUAAUGUAAGUAACUGAGUACUGAAAACAACAUCAACGAAGACAAAGAUACAUAUUCCCCUUUGUUUGCUUCAUAUGCAGAGAGCCUUUUGUGAAUACAGUUGUCACCAAAUGCAAGCAAUUCUAUGUGAGAAUUGUGCUUUGCCUUUAUGGUUUAGCUAAGAGGGCCUUCUGCUCAACCUUUCGUCACUUUUUCAUAUAUGUGUUUGAAAAUAUAAAACCCGGUCACAAUAUUUUUCCCAUAUAUCAAUGAAAAUUAAAAACAUUGAAUCUAA